rnacentral:lncRNA from 7 species
AUUCCUCCCGGACCACGCGACUGUGGUGGUUGGGGAUUAGUUGAACCCCGCAAAUCAUACGGAGGCGCCCGGGAUUUCACCUGGGUAUAUAAGCAUGUCAUGCGCCCCUCUUUCGAUUCAAGUUGAGGGAACCGACCGCCGUGGGAUGUCGAGGUGCUCUGGUCGAGAGAAGUGGGGGGUCGGAGAUGUGAGCAGAGAUCCGCCGUGCGCUAGAACCGGUCACGCCGUCGUCAAACCCUCGGGAAUUUCUCCCCGGAAUCAAGCCGCCACCGCAGUACCGCGCGUGGCCAUGGUCAGAAUUCAGUGUUGUGCCGUAGCUGCGAGGUUACGAGUCACUUGAAGACCAAGUUGGUACCUGGGAAUCUCGAGUCUAAGGUCAAGGACAGGUACCACAGGAUGAGGCGCAUGAAGGAUGAUAUGAUGAGUUCGUGAGUGGUCUAGGCUGUCGUCUCCCAGUCAACUAUGGUUGUUGGAUCGUUGUCUUCGUAUGAUGUAAUUAUUUAACUAUUUUGUACAUAGCUUCGUUAUAUACAAAUGAUGUGACAUUCGUUUAUGUACCAUGAGUCAUCAUAUGUGUGAUACUUGAUCCUAGCACACUUGGUAAAGUUCGCGCUCGGGUUUUGGACCCCCUAAAAUCCGGGUGUAACAACUUACGUAUAGGAAUUGUUU